rnacentral:tRNA from 1 species
GCGCCGGUAGCUCAGGCGGACAGAGCAUCGGAUUUCUAAUCCGACGGUCGGGGGUUCGAGUCCCUCCCGGCGCG